rnacentral:lncRNA from 1 species
GUGAUAGGAGUUGUGUGAUGAACAAUUGAUGCAUUACCAUUCCUUGGAAGUUGAAUACUAUACCUUGAUCACUGAUUUAUAAAAAGAACUGAUAAUGCUUAACCCUGCUUAGAAACUGAAAAAUCCUUUGUUUUCAAAAAGAAUAAUGUGGAACAUUGGUUAUGGGCUUUUUGAUUCAAAAAUCAAAACAAACUAAGGUGAUGGAUCCUCUACGGCCGGAGUGGACUCGUCACUCGAAAAGAGUAUCCCUGCCGGGUACCGAAAACGGGGAAAUGGUUAAUAAAUCUAGACCAGGCGCCGAGCACACAGAGUCACCCGUCUGUGUUGAUUAAGGACCGUACCGUUGACUGGCCUGUUGUGGUUGAGACUUUGCAACUAGCCACAUACCCUGGUAUGGGACAGGGUAAGCUUGAACCCGGCUAUUCCAUACGUGAAGAGACAAUCGCGCACUGGGAGUGGAGAGAUGGUGGGAGUAGCAUGUACCCUCCUGGCAUAGUAGCACGCCUGGUAGGGUAAUGUGCUCUCGGGUGGCGCGAACCUGUUCAUGUAGUGAAGGACUCCGUGGGAACGGUUGACAUAUGCAAGGGUUAAGUGCUACAUAUGUCGUGUGGUUAGAGAUCCCCAGCUGGGUAUAAUCGGUUCAAAUCGUCGUUGCUCCUCGAUUAUGGAGACUCAUCCCGGUGACCAUCAUCGUAGUUAGCAAGUGAAUUAUGAGAAUGAAUAAAAUGCAGCUAGUAUAGGCCAAGUGCUUGAACUAGACUAGGCAAAUAUAGAUUCAGGUAAUAACCUAACUUGUGAAAUAAAACUUGGCUUAAGGAUCAAUUGGUAGGAAGCUUUUCUGCAAAAGGAGUCUUCGAUCAUUGAUAAACCUUACCUUGAUUCCCAAUCAACUAGCAUACCCUUGAGAGUCUUUUCUUUAGUCGGGUAAGUCUUGCUGAGUAAUUGCAUACUCAGGGCUUUAUUCCCUGUUGUUUUUUAGGUUAUAAGUUUGUUCUAUUGUGGAUGGAGCUAAGUGCUGGUGGGCUCGGCCUUCUUAUAUAAGUAUAUCCCAUCUUUAGCUUCUUUAUUGAGGAUUGUCACUUAAGCUAGCAUGUAAUUUAAAACUUAUAAAUGUUUUAUAAAUUUUAAAGUGUAAUUCUUUUGAAUCACUUUCUUUUGUAAUCACUUCGAUAAUUGUAUAAUGUAAACUUAUUAUGACAUGUAAUCAUUAUGCAAUAAAGAAUUUAUUUCCGCUGCAAAUGUUUGUGUGUGAUUUGUGUUUACUUAAUCCUGCGAUCUUGGCGGUAAGUCGUUUAUCCGUGGUCAUCAGGGCACUCGGACGGAUCCUAUUAUGUUGUUUGGUGCACAUGCAUAGCCGUCUGAGGUCUUUGAGACAAGGACAGGUGCAUGUGGGCCCGAUAACUUGGGAGGUUCUGCGACAGCUGGUACCGGAGCAUGAUUAAGUAUAAUACGGUCACAUACAUAUAUUUAAAACAAAGUUUUGGUUUUGAAAAACUUAUUUUCAACUAAACAUAUUGUUUGAUUUUGAAAAAAACAGAUUUGAAAAACUAUAAUGCUAGUGACAUCCUCUGUUAAGCCCUAAGUUAAGGACUACUAGGUGGCUUAGUUCAGAAUACUAACCACAACCUGGGAAGGGUAAUGCAUACAUGUGUAAUGUUAUUUUUGAGGCCAUUCAGUCUUGAAUGGAUCGACGCUCAAGGUAAGGUGAGAUGUGAGAGCGUGACCAGACAAACGUCGGUCUAGGGGAGAGUAUAAAAAGUGCUUGAUUAUAUACAUGUUUUACAUAUGUAUAUAUGAAGCCUGCGAUGUGGAGUAUUUACUUUUCUAGGAUUCAGUACCCCAUGGAUGUGUAUGGGUAUACCGACAUGGGAAUACUGAGAAGUGUAAUGUACUUGUAUUAAUGCACCUACGCUCAGGUAAGAAGGUAAGUUACCAUAAUGGGCUGCCCUAUGGUUAAAGUGUGGCAGCGGCGCCUAUGCGUGGCUCGGCGCUUAAUGAGAAGCUGUCCUCCAUAUAGAAAUAUAUGGAGUAUAAACUGUGAUAAACUAUCAUGUGUGAAUUGCAUCAUUGGGAAUUGGGAUGUGAUGGAAAUUUUCUGCAGGUACACUAACAUCGAACUCGUAUCUGUAGCUGACGACUAGCAAUAUACCGAGAGAGACAUAGAUAUGCCACCGAUAUAGAACACUAUUGCCAUGUUAAGUUGGCAAAAUUCGUGAGGACAAAUAGGACGAGCAUGCAUCCUAAUUGUUGCAUUGUGUUUGUUGUUUGCGCACAAAAAUGCUUCCCUCACCUUUAUUCUAAUAAUUGGUGAUUGUGAACGAACAUGCUUUUCUCAUCUUUAUUCUGAUAAUAAAUAAUUGGAAACUGUAUGAAGUAUUACUAAUCUAUAAGCAAUUUCUAGCUUUGUUUGUUGUGUCUUUUAGACAUGUGUUUAUGUGGCCUGUGAUUCUUCUUAGUUGACCGCUAGUGCAACUUGGGUUUGUUUUCGUGCUUGUGUGCUAGUAGAAUGCAGGUAGUUUGUUUGCAUAAACCCAAAGCUAGGUCAUGUCCCUGUUUAGUGAACCUUGAUCUAACCAUGUAUUAAUUUCUUGACAACCUAUCCUAGGUGUCGCCUUGUGUGAAGAUCAUUUUCUUCACAAGAUUAUUGGAGUUCUAGCAAUUAGACCAAGUCAUGUUGAAAGGGAAAUGUGCCCUUGGGCCAUUUCUAAGUAUUUUGGUGAUUGAGUGCCAACGCAAGUGCUUUUGUGUUGAUCUAUGCAAUGUGGUGGACAAAGUGCAAAUCAUGUCAAAAGGUAUGUUUCUAGACUUAGUACAUUGUUUUAUGGACUAAUGUAUUGUGUCUAAGUGCUGGAAACAGGAAAGAUCGAAUUGGAAUUGUCUUGGCUCGAGCAGCCAAGACUCUGCUCAGUCUGGGAGCACCGGACUGUCCGGUGGUGCACCGGACAGUGUUCGGUGCGCCAGGCUGGCUCGAGCGAACUGGCCGCUCUCGAGAAUUCACCGGCGACGUACGGCUAUAAUUCACCGGACUGUCCGGUGUGCACCGGACUGUCCGGUGAGCCAACGGUCGGCCGGGCCAACGGUCGGCCGCACGAUCUGCGCGGGACACGUGGCCGAGCCAACGACUAGAAGGGGGCACCGGACAUGUCCGGUGCGCCAACGGCUCUCUGGCUGCCAACGGUCGACUGCGCCAGUUAAGGAAAGAAAUCGGGCACCGGACAGUGUCCGGUGUGCACCGGACUGUCCGGUGCGCCAGACGACAGAAGGCAAGAUUUGCCUUCCCAGAUUGCUCUCAACGACUUCUAGCUGCCUUGGGGCUAUAAAAGGGACCCCUAGGCGCAUGGAGGAGCACACCAAGCAUUCCUACAACAUUUCUAAGCACCAAGACCUCGAUUCCGCGCAUUUGUUUCAUUGUGAUAGCAUAUAGAGCUCUAGUGGAGUUGUGAACUCAUUGAGUUGUGUUGCGAGCUCUUGUUGCGACUUGUGUGCGUGUUGACACUCUGAUUCUUGAGUCUUGUGUGCGUUGCUAAUCCUCCCUUGCUCUGUGCUUCUUUGAGAACUUCAAGUGUAAGGGCGAGAGGCUCCAAGUUGUGGAGAUUACUCGCAAACGGGAUUGAGAAAAGCAAGCAAAACACCGUGGUAUUCAAGUGGGUCUUUGGACCGCUUGAGAGGGGUUGAUUGCAACCCUCGUCCGUUGGGACGCCACAACGUGGAGUAGGCAAGCGUUGGUCUUGGCCGAACCAUGGGAUAACCACCGUGCCAUCUCUGUGAUUGAUUUCUUGUGGUUAUUGUGUUUUGUUGAGACUCCUCUCUAGCCACUUGGCAUUUACUGUGCUAACGCUUAACCAAGUUUUUGUGGCUUAAGUUUUCAAGUUUUACAGGAUCACCUAUUCACCCCCCCCCCUCUAGGUGCUCUCAAUUGGUAUCAGAGCCGUUCUCUUCAAGAAGGGACUAAUCGCCCGAAAGAGAUGGAUCCUAAGGGAAAGGGGAUGGUGGUCAACAACGAGAAGGAGUCUAUCUUCAACGAGCCGAAGGAUGACAAGCCUACCGACUCGGGUUCAAGCCACAAGCGCAAAGACGGGAAGAAGAAGAAGACAAGGCGCAUCAAGGAGAUCGUCUACUACGACAGCGACGAAUCUUCCUCUUCCCAAAAGGAUGACGACGACUACGAGAAAAAGAAAACGGUCAAUUCGAACUUUUCUUUUGAUUACUCUCGUAUUCCUCAAAGUACAAAUGCUCAUUUAUUAUCUAUUCCACUUGGUAAACCUCCUCAUUUUGAUGGAGAGGACUACGGAUUUUGGAGUCACAAAAUGUGUAGUCACUUGUUCUCUCUCCAUCCUAGCAUAUGGGAGAUUGUAGAGAGUGGAAUGCACUUUGAUAGUACGGAUAGUCCCAUGUUCAUUAAUGAGCAAAUUCAUAAAAAUGCACAAGCUACUACUGUUCUUCUAGCUUCAUUGUGCAGGGAUGAAUACCACAAAGUGAGCGGCUUGGAUAACGCCAAGCAAAUCUGGGACACCCUCAAGAUCUCUCAUGAGGGGAAUGACGUCACAAUGCUCACCAAGAUGGAGUUGGUGGAGGGCGAACUCGGGAGGUUCGCUAUGAUAAGGGGAGAAGAGCCAACCCAAACGUACAACCGGCUCAAGACCCUUGUCAACAAGAUAAGAAGCUAUGGAAGCACGCGAUGGACGGACCACGACGUCGUCCGCCUAAUGCUAAGGUCUUUUACUGUCCUUGAUCCUCAUCUUGUAAACAAUAUUCGUGAGAAUCCUAGGUACACCAAGAUGACGCCCGAGGAGAUACUUGGAAAGUUCGUAAGCGGGCGAAUGAUGAUCAAGGAAGCAAGAUACGUGGACGACGCAUUGAAUGGUCCAAUCAAUGAGCCUCAACCCCUUGCUCUCAAGGCAACAAGAAGCAAGGAGACGCUACCUAGCAAGGUGGCACAAAUUGAGGCAGCCGGACUUAAUGAUGAAGAGAUGGCCCUCAUCAUCAAGAGAUUCAAGACGGCGCUAAAAGGUCGCAAGGAGCACCCCAACAAGAACAAGAUGAAGGGGAAACACUCCCGCUUCAAAUGUGGUAAGAUUGGUCAUUUUAUAGCUAAUUGUCCCGACAAUGAUAGUGAUCAGGAAAAGAAGAGUGGAAAAUGGGAAAAGAAGAAAAACUACAAGAAGGCGAAGGGCGAGGCACAUCUUGGAAAGGAGUGGGAUUCGGACUGCUCCUCGUCCGACUCCGACAAUGAAGGACUCGCCGCCACCGCAUUCAACAAGUCAUCCCUCUUCCCCAACGAGCGUCACACAUGCCUUAUGGCAAGGGAGAAGAAGGUAUGUACUCGAAACUCUACUUAUGCUUCUUCAAGUGAGGACGAAUCUAGUGAUGAGGAUGAAAUAGAUUAUUCAUGUCUAUUCAAGGGCCUAGAUAGAACCAAGGUAGAUAAAAUUAAUGAAUUAAUUGAUGCCUUGAAUGAUAAGAAUAGGUUAUUAAAAAAGCAAGAGGAUUUGUUGUAUGAAGAACAUGACAAAUUUGUAGAAGCACAAAAAUCUCAUGCCUUAGAAGUUAAGAGAAAUGAAAUGCUUUCUUGUGAAUUAUCUUCUUGCCAUGAGACAAUUUCUAGCUUAAGGAGCAUUAAUGAUGAUUUGAAUGCUAAGUUAGAAAUAGCUAGUAAAUCAACAACUUGUGUAGAAAAUGUUGUUAUUUGCAAUAGAUGUAAAGAUUUUGAUAUUGAUGCUUGUAGUGAACACAUAGCUUCUAUUGCAAAGUUAAAUGAUGAAAUGGCUAGUCUUAAUGCUCAACUUAAGGCUAGCAAAAGUGAUUUUGAUAAACUAAAAUUUGCUAGGGAUGCCUACACGAUUGGUAGACACCCAUCAAUUAAGGAUGGGCUUGGCUUUAAGAGGGAAGCCAAGAACUUAACAAGCCAUAAGGCUCCCAUCCCCGCCAAGGAGAAAGGGAAGGCCCCUAUGGUUAGUAAUGCUAAAAAGAACCAUGCUUUUAUGUACAAUGAUAGAAAACAGUCUCAUAGGAGUUGCAAUGCUUUUGAUGCACAUACCUAUGAUUCUUAUGCUAUGUUUGCUUCUAGCUCUUCUUAUUCGCAUGAUAGAGAUAUGUCUAGGAGUUAUAUUCAUCAUGUGCCUAGAAAGAAUAUUGUUCAUGUUGCUAGGAAAGUUAUGGAUGGUCCUUCUACAAUUUAUCAUGCUUUAAAUGCUUCCUUUGCUAUUUGUAGAAAGGAUAGAAAGGUGAUUGCUAGGAAAUUAGGGGUAAAAUGCAAGGGAGAUAAAACUUGCAUUUGGGUCCCUAAGACAAUUGUGACUAACCUUGUAGGACCCAACAAGAGUUGGGUACCUAAGUCCCAAGCCUAAAUUUGCCUUGCAGGUCUAUGCAUCCGGGGGUUCAAGCUGGAUUAUCGACAGCGGAUGCACAAACCAUAUGACGGGGGAGAAGAAGAUGUUCACCUCCUACGUCAAAAACAAGGAUUCCCAAGAUUCAAUAAUAUUCGGUGAUGGGAACCAAGGCAAGGUAAAAGGGUUAGGUAAAAUUGCAAUUUCAAAUGAGCACUCUAUCUCUAAUGUGUUUUUAGUUGAGUCUCUGGGAUACAAUUUACUAUCUGUUAGUCAAUUGUGCAAUAUGGGUUAUAACUGUCUAUUCACUAAUGUAGAUGUGUCUGUCUUUAGAAGAAGUGAUGGUUCAUUAGCCUUUAAGGGUGUAUUAGACGGCAAACUUUAUUUAGUUGAUUUUGCAAAAGAGGAGGCCGGUCUAGAUGCAUGCUUAAUAGCUAAGACUAGCAUGGGUUGGCUGUGGCAUCGCCGCUUAGCACAUGUGGGGAUGAAGAACCUUCACAAGCUUUUAAAGGGAGAACAUGUGAUAGGUUUAACUAACGUGCAAUUCGAAAAAGAUAGACCUUGUGCAGCAUGUCAAGCAGGUAAACAGGUGGGAGGAGCACAUCAUAGCAAGAAUAUGAUGACCACAUCAAGGCCCCUGGAACUGCUACAUAUGGACCUCUUCGGACCUGUCGCCUAUCUAAGCAUAGGGGGAAGUAAGUAUGGUCUAGUUAUUGUUGAUGACUUUUCCCGCUUCACUUGGGUAUUCUUUUUGCAGGAUAAGUCUGAGACCCAAGGGACUCUCAAGUGCUUCCUAAGGAGAGCUCAAAACGAGUUUGAGCUCAAGGUGAAGAAGAUAAGGAGCGACAACGGGUCCGAGUUCAAGAACCUUCAAGUGGAGGAGUACCUUGAGGAGGAAGGGAUCAAGCACGAGUUCUCCGCUCCCUACACACCACAGUAAAAUGGUGUGGUAGAGAGGAAGAACAGGACGCUAAUCGAUUUGGCGAGGACGAUGCUUGGAGAAUACAAGACCCCCGAGCGUUUUUGGUCGGAAGCCGUGAACACGGCUUGCCACGCCAUCAACAGGGUCUACCUUCACCGCCUCCUCAAGAAGACAUCGUAUGAGCUUCUAACCGGUAACAAACCCAAUGUAUCGUACUUUCGUGUAUUUGGGAGCAAAUGCUACAUUCUAGUGAAGAAAGGUAGAAGUUCUAAGUUUGCUCCCAAAGCUGUAGAAGGGUUUUUGUUAGGUUAUGACUCAAAUACAAAGGCGUAUAGAGUCUUCAACAAAUCAUCGGGUUUGGUUGAAGUCUCUAGCGACGUUGUAUUUGAUGAGACUAAUAGCUCUCCAAAAGAGCAAGUUGUUGAUCUUGAUGAUGUAGAUGAAGAAGAUGUUCCGACGGCCGCUAUACGAACCAUGGUGAUUGGUGAUGUACGACCACAGGAACAAAAGGAGCAAGAUCAACCUUCUUCCUCAACUAUGGUGCAUCCCCCAACUCAAGACGAUGAACAGGUUCAUCAACAGGAGGCGUGUGAUCAAGGGGGAGCACAAGAUGAUCAUGUGAUGGAGGAAGAAGCGCAACCGGCACCUCCAACCCAAGUUCGAGCGAUGAUUCAAAGGGAUCAUCCCGUUGAUCAAAUUCUGGGUGAUAUUAGCAAGGGAGUAACUACUCGAUCUCGAUUAGUUAAUUUUUGUGAGCAUUACUCCUUUGUCUCUUCUAUUGAGCCUUUCAGGGUAGAAGAGGUCUUGCUAGAUCCGGACUGGGUGUUGGCCAUGCAAGAGGAGCUCAACAACUUCAAGAGAAAUGAAGUUUGGACGCUGGUGCCUCGUCCUAAGCAAAAUGUUGUGGGAACCAAGUGGGUGUUCCGCAACAAACAAGACGAGCACGGAGUGGUGACAAGGAACAAGGCUCGACUUGUGGCAAAAGGUUAUGCCCAAGUCGCAGGUUUGGACUUUGAGGAAACUUUUGCUCCUGUGGCUAGGCUAGAGUCCAUUCGUAUUUUGCUAGCAUAUGCCGCUCACCAUUCUUUCAGGUUGUUCCAAAUGGAUGUGAAGAGCGCGUUCCUCAAUGGGCCAAUCAAGGAGGAGGUGUACGUAGAGCAACCCCCUGGCUUCGAGGAUGAACGGUACCCCGACCACGUGUGUAAGCUCUCUAAGGCGCUCUAUGGACUUAAGCAAGCCCCAAGAGCAUGGUAUGAAUGCCUUAGAGACUUUCUAAUUGCUAAUGCUUUCAAGGUUGGGAAAGCCGAUCCAACUCUGUUCACUAAGACUUGUGACGGUGAUCUCUUUGUAUGCCAAAUUUAUGUCGAUGACAUAAUAUUUGGUUCUACUAAUAAAAAGUCUUGUGAAGAGUUUAGCAGGGUAAUGAUGCAGAAAUUCGAGAUGUCGAUGAUGGGCGAGUUGAACUACUUCCUUGGGUUCCAAGUGAAGCAACUCAAGGACGGCACCUUCAUCUCUCAAACGAAGUACACGCAAGACUUGCUGAAGCGGUUUGGAAUGAAGGACGCCAAGCCCGCAAAGACUCCGAUGGGGACCGACGGACACACCGACCUCAACAAAGGAGGUAAGUCCGUUGAUCAAAAGGCAUAGCGGUCUAUGAUAGGGUCUUUACUUUAUUUAUGUGCAAGUAGACCGGAUAUUAUGCUUAGUGUAUGCAUGUGUGCUAGAUUUCAAUCCGAUCCUAAGGAGUGUCACCUAGUGGCGGUGAAGCGAAUCCUUAGAUAUUUAGUUGCUACGCCUUGCUUCGGGCUCUGGUAUCCAAAGGGGUCUACCUUUGACUUGAUUGGAUAUUCAGAUUCUGAUUAUGCUGGAUGUAAGGUCGAUAGGAAGAGUACAUCGGGGACGUGCCAAUUCUUAGGAAGGUCCCUGGUGUCAUGGAAUUCUAAGAAACAAACCUCUGUUGCCCUAUCCACCGCUGAGGCCGAGUAUGUUGCCGCAGGACAGUGUUGCACGCAACUACUUUGGAUGAGGCAAACCCUCAGGGACUUUGGCUACAAUCUGAGCAAAGUCCCACUCCUAUGUGAUAAUGAGAGUGCUAUCCGCAUGGCGGAUAAUCCUGUUGAACACAGCCGCACAAAGCACAUAGACAUUCGGCAUCACUUUUUGAGAGACCACCAGCAAAAGGGGGAUAUCGAAGUGUUCCAUGUUAGCUCCGAGAACCAGCUAGCCGAUAUCUUUACCAAGCCUCUAGAUGAGAAGACCUUUUGCAGGUUACGUAGUGAGCUAAAUUUCUUAGAUUCACGGAACCUGGAUUGAAUUAUAGUAUACAUAUGUUUAUGCCUUUGAUCAUGUUCCCUAUGCAUUUUGUUGCUUAGCUACGGUGCUCAAGUUGUACAAACACUUCCUGGACCUCACAAGUCCGUUGCAAAGCGAUGCACAUAUUUAGGGGGAGAUGUGUUACAACUUGACCCUUUGAGACUAACCAUGUGCUUGAGUUUGCUGAUUUAGUCUCAAAGAAGGUUUGAAAGGGAAAAGGUGGACUUGGACCAUGAAAGACUUCCACUGCACUCCGAUGAGAGGGUAACUUAUUCCAAGUUCAUCUCAUGUACUCUUAUUGCCUUUGUAUUCUUAUUGAAGAUUUUGGUGAGGCAAUGGGGUUCAAGGGCCAAGGUUAAUCCCGUUUUGGUGCUUGAUGCCAAAGAGGGAGAAAAUAAAGGCCAAAGCAAUAAAUGGAUCAGCUACCACUUGAGAGAUUUUGAAAAUAGUAGAAUAGAGCUUUUGGUUUGUCAAAACUUUUUUAUUGUCUCUCUUGUCAAAAGUUGGCUUCUUGUGGGGAGAAGUGUUGCUUAUGGGAAAAAGGGGAGUUUUUGAAAUCUUGAAUCAAUUUCUCUUGGAAUGACUCUCUUUAUGUCUUAACAUGUGUGUUUGACUUAGAGAUCGAAAUUUGAGUUUGAUUUACAAAAACAAACCAAGUGGUGGCAAAGAGUGAUCCAUAUAUGCCAAAUCUGAUUCAAAACAAAUUUGAGUUUUAUUUGAAGUGAUUUUGCACUUGUUCUACUUGCUUUAUGUUAUGUUGGCAUAAAUCACCAAAAAGGGGGAGAUUGAAAGGGAAAUGUGCCCUUGGGCCAUUUCUAAGUAUUUUGGUGAUUGAGUGCCAACGCAAGUGCUUUUGUGUUGAUCUAUGCAAUGUGGUGGACAAAGUGCAAAUCAUGUCAAAAGAUAUGUUUCUAGACUUAGUACAUUGUUUUAUGGACUAAUGUAUUGUGUCUAAGUGCUGGAAACAGGAAAGAUCGAAUUGGAAUUGUCUUGGCUCGAGCAGCCAAGACUCUGCUCAGUCUGGGAGCACCGGACUGUCCGGUGGUGCACCGGACAGUGUCCGGUGCGCCAGGCUGGCUCGAGCGAACUGGCCGCUCUCGGGAAUUCACCGGCGACGUACGGCUAUAAUUCACCGGACUGUCUGGUGUGCACCGGACUGUCCGGUGAGCCAACGGUCGGCCGGGUCAACGGUCUGCCGCGCGAUCUGCGCGGGACACGUGGCCGAGCCAACGACUAGAAGGGGGCACCGAACUGUCCGGUGUGCACCGGACAUGUCCGGUGCGCCAACGGCUCUCUGGCUGCCAACGGUCGACUGCGCCAGUUAAGGAAAGAAAUCGGGCACCGGACAGUGUCCGGUGUGCACCGGACUGUCCGGUGCGCCAGACGACAGAAGGCAAGAUUUGCCUUCCCAGAUUGCUCUCAACGGCUCCUAGCUGCCUUGGGGCUAUAAAAGGGACCCCUAGGCGUAUGGAGGAGCACACCAAGCAUUCCUACAACAUUUCUAAGCACCAAGACCUCGAUUUCGCGCAUUUGUUUCAUUGUGAUAGCAUAUAGAGCUCUAGUGGAGUUGUGAACUCAUUGAGUUGUGUUGCGAGCUCUUGUUGCGACUUGUGUGCGUGUUGACACUCUGAUUCUUGAGUCUUGUGUGCGUUGCUAAUCCUCCCUUGCUCUGUGCUUCUUUGAGAACUUCAAGUGUAAGGGCGAGAGGCUCCAAGUUGUGGAGAUUCCUCGCAAACGGGAUUGAGAAAAGCAAGCAAAACACCGUGGUAUUCAAGUGGGUCUUUGGACCGCUUGAGAGGGGUUGAUUGCAAUCCUCGUCCGUUGGGACGCCACAACGUGGAUUAGGCAAGCGUUGGUCUUGGCCGAACCACGGGAUAACCACCGUGCCAUCUCUGUGAUUGAUUUCUUGUGGUUAUUGUGUUUUGUUGAGACUCCUCUCUAGCCACUUGGCAUUUACUGUGCUAACGCUUAACCAAGUUUUUGUGGCUUAAGUUUUCAAGUUUUACAGGAUCACCUAUUCACCCCCCCCCCCUCUAGGUGCUCUCACAUGUCCUCAUCAUCUCAACAUGUGAAAUUGUAUGAGAUCUAAUUCAUAAUUUUGUCAUUUCUUCAAAGUCCCUCUAAAUCUUCAAAACAUAGAUGACUUUAGAUUAUCCAUUACUACUUCGUGGCCAAACUCGUGCAAAUGAAAUUUUUGAUAAUCUCUUUGUGGGACAUAAGAUGUACGUGGACUUAAAUGAGGAUCUCGAGUCUGUGUUCCUAACAAUUAAUUCAUAACUAUGUUGUGGUCAUAUUUUCAUUCUAAACCAUGCCCUUGUUCGGUUGGUGCAAGCUGAUGGUUCUAUUCUGCUUUGCCUCUCCAUGAGAAUCACAUUGUUGCUUUCUCAAUCUAACCUAGGAAAGGAAUGCCCAAUAAAUUUUCUUGAAUUUAAUGCAUUUGGUUUCCUCAUAUCUCUCGAAGGCAUACCAAUUUAAUCUUCUGAUCGUUUUCCCCUCUAUAUCUAAUCAGACACUAAUCGUUGACUUGAUAAUCUCUGCGAUGGAUAUAGAAAUAUGCUUGGGCUGAAUUAACAGUCUCCCAUCGCAUUCCUUCAUAAUAAAUCUAUUGGAAAUCAAAAUCUAUCCAUGUCUAAUUGUGUGAUAAAAUCACCCUUUUCAUGUGCGGUCUCUUUUCUCUUGACUUUGGUGGUGAUUGCACACAUACAAGUUCCCUUUGCAUCCUUUAUUGUAAAGGUGAAGCCUUCAACUUUUUAGUCUUGGAAGACAACUGAUUAGUUCUUAAAAUGGAGAUUGAUUUUCCCUGUUGUUGAGAUGUAGGAGUUUGUUCAUUCGCUCUCUUGUUUAAUCCAUGUAUUCCCAAACCAUGUCAUUUCAUCUCACAUGAAGAAACGGAUGAACAACAUGACCAAAUGGAUUUCUACCCAAAUGCGUGAUCUCUUGUUAAUGAAUGUGAACUCUCAAAUCCUGGUUUGUCAACGGAUAAUAAGAGAACUUGAAUGUCAAAAGUAAUUCAACAAGUUGGUUUUACUAACUUGUAUCUACAUUGUGAACAAAGAUUGAGUUUAGAGAUCGUUUUAUCGAGUUGUUUAAACUCACUUUAGUUCAACCCAUCCUGAGAAAGUAAUUAUAUAAAAAAAAUCAAGCUAAGUCGACUGCUACCCACCUAAUCAUCGCUCUAGUCGUGCCUCGAUCGCCUCACGUAUGGUUUUCCAAAGUGUGUGAUCAAGUCGAGCCAUGAUUAGUGCUUGAUAAAAUGGAUUGGUUGCGAAGUUAGCAUCUACAGAUCCCUCCACUGGUGAUUUCUCGAAUCUAUAUCACCUUUCAUGGACUUGGAUUCUUUGGCCUAAUCACGAGUCAACUGUGAUGUUGUUCGACAUCCACAUCUGUCUCAUGUGCCAUAGAAUUCCCACGCCGACUUAUCGACGAACCUCUUUCUUUGUGUCUUACAAAAAGGGUUGCAUUGCAUCCUAUUCGGUCUAGACAAUUGCUAUUCACCUGUCCACUGUUCUCUCAACAGACUCAUGUUAUCAAAAAAAAGCAAACUGCACACAUGGAGUCUUAUGUGUUUUUCUGGCAGACAACGUCUCUAUUGAUGGACAUCCCUAAUUAGCUUAAAAUGAUACAUGCUAUACCCACUUGAGGAACCAACAUCUUGGAGUACUCAUCUCUACUCGGAACUGUCUUAUGCUAUCGCUAUUAUGGAUAGGGUUACACGCCUCUCUACUCUUAGAAGUCUUUCGUUCUGAAUCUCGGGACGAGAUUCUUUUAAGGGGGGGAAGGUUGUAACACCACAGGUGUUUAUUGUCGGCUCAAUCACGAGUGCAGACUUUAACAUGUGAUAGCGAUGAAUAAAAUGGACACUAAAUUUUAAUCAUCUUCGUCUAUCACGAUUUUGAUAUCGUGUCUGUCUCCAUCUGUCUAAAUUGUCCUAAUUUAUUUUGCAAAAUUCAGACUUUAGUAAUCUUCCGAAACAUUGAAUCCAAUAUGAUUGGGUUGAGCCAUCGACAUCUCGUCUAAAACACUAUCUCAUGAAUCAUCUGCAUUUCUGUCCAUUUGGACUAUUCUAAAUAUUUUAUGAAGUUUGAAAUUUAAGAAUCUUCCGAGACGUCGAGUUCUGUACUGUGCGAAUCACUCGAGUGGGUGAAAAUAAAUUUAGAAAGUGUCUAAACUUUAUAAUCCGACCGCGCACAUUAUUGGAGAAAAUUCAUGUGCGAGGUUUAUAUUUUGGAUAUAGAUAACGGAUAGGAAUUCAUCUGACUCCAGCAUAUUCACUAAAUAAAAUCAUAUCUGAAUAUUGUGGUCAAUCUUAUUUUGGUUCGACCCUUUUAUAUACCUUUUAGAACUUAAUUUCCGAACCCCAAAAUAUUUACAUGUUUAUUUUGUUAAAAGUUUGGACAAGAAAAAUCAACAUUCUCCUUAACUCCCCACCGUAUGUCACACAUAGCAUUAUCCCUUGCCGUAUCCUCAUCAUGAGAUCAUUUGAUUUGUUUAGAAGCUCAUCUCAUACUCAUGUCAUUGUUGUGCUUAUCUGCUUUCUCUGCAAACACACUUAGAUUGACGUGUAGACUCCUCCAAUUGAGCACGUCAUCUCCUCUAUCCCCACGCGUCUCCUGCUCGAUGUUUCCAAAGCCAAGUGCUCCUUCUCCACGCCGCUCAGCCUCCUCUCUGUUUCAGCCGUGGAGCAUCAGCAAUCCACAUCAUCUCCCUUGGCCGAGCGGUUCCCUUGCGGCGCCCAGGAUCCUUCCCAGACGCGCUCGGCUCCCUGGUCUGUCACCUUGCCGGCGUUCCCCUCCACCUAGCAUGCCCGUCAGGCCCUCUCUUCGCCACCCUGCCAUGGAGCUCGUCCCAUGCCCAACGCCGGCCAACCUCACUUCCCAUGGUCGUCCCUUCCUCCUUCCUCCCUAUGGUCGACGGCCUCACCUUCCAUGGCUUCCAAGAUCUGCUCAACAUCCAUUCUAGCGCGCACCCCUGCUUCCGUUUCCUGGUGGCCGACGCCCCCUCCCUGGAGCUCGCCCUUGCUCAUCCACUCGUCCUCGUCUUCAUUGCGGGCAUCAGCGCCCUUCGCCUCCUGCCGGUGAGCAGCUCGCCGCCGGUCGUUGCGACUCCAUCCCGCUUGGUCACGUUUGUCUCGCUGCUCCUUCCAAUCAGCACCUAGCGCUGCUCAUCCCGUCGUUGAUCUGCGCUCCAAGCUCUCCUUGAUGUUGUAUUCGGUGGGCAGGAGAGAAAUUGGAGGAAUCUGGCGAAGAAGAAAAGAACCCUGUCUGUCGCGCCCAAGCCGCGUCGAGCCCCUUCGUCUCGCCCUUUCCCUACACCUUCACUAUCCAUGGUCGCUACUCUCCUUUCCCUGAUUAAUACUAGGCGCAGCAGCAGCAACAUGCCAGAUCUCUGUAGCCCAGGUGAGACUAACUGCUUGUGUUUUGUUUAUUCCCCACCAAUUCCUAUAUUUGAUUAUUUACUGUAUAUGUUUGUGUGUUUGUGGUGGAGGUAAAUCCUAGGAAAUUUAGAUGAGAAGAAAGCUUUAGCGAGGCGCUUGCCAAGUGCUUGGUGAAUCGCCUCAAUCGGAUGUGGUUGUCGAUCUCGCGGAGUCGAGUCGAGUUUAGUCGUGGUAAGUCGAUCCAUUGUUUCCGAUAGUCGGAUGAAUGAUUAGUUUGUGUGGAUGUAUAAGGCUUGUGCUAUUAAAUUGAUUUGUGUUAUGUGAAUGAAAUUAUUUUCAUGAGUAUGUAUUAGUAUCAACAUAUGUUGGAGAUAGUUCUAUGUUUUAGUGGUCAUGUUAUUUGAUAUUUAUUAACCGAAUUCCGGUUGAAUGGAUGUAUAUGCAUAGUCUCAUUAGAGUAGUUCUUCAUUUGCAAUAUGAACUUUAGUUUGAAGAUACAAACUCAUACGAAGUGAUUGUGUGCAUGGUUAUCAAGUAUACCAAUCUAUCUAUGUGAUUAAGUAGGUGGUUUUAGUUCUACUUUAAGGUAAGGUGUUAGAAUAUUUGAAGUACCAAGCACAUGAGAAUUGUAUGAGUUAACUAGGAGCUAACUUAAAAUUAUUACUGUUUGGACCACAUGUCUAGUUUUAGUUAUGCAGCUAGUUUAGGGAAGUAAAACAUGAUUUCUAUAAAAGUGUUAUAUAGAAACGUUAUAGCAAACUUAUUUAUCUUGCUUGUGCUAAAAUUUCAUGACCAUAGGUUUAGUAGUUUAGGAGUUAUGAUUUUUCAAAGUCCAGUAUCAGAAUCUGUCCAGAUUCUGUACUGAUUUCGAAAAUGACCUUGUUUGCCCAAGUUAAACUAAGAAUCAGCCCUUAGUAAUUAUAGAAGAAUUGUAAUAAUUUUCUUAAGCUUUCCAACAAAUUUUGGAUCACCCUUUUUGGUGAUAUAUAAGUUAAGUUACAGCUGUUUGAAGUGCGAUCUCUGAAUUUGUCCAAAUUUGGACAGCAGAGCCUUUCUCAUGUUUUCUGACCUUAAUAUAUAUUGAAUUAAUCUGGGAUGUUUAUAAAUGAAUUGUAGAUAAUUCUAUUAGCCUUCUAAAAAGUCUAGGAUCACCUACUUUGGAUGCCUGAAACUCUAGAUAUAGAUUUUUGAAGUGAGUAGUCGAUUUCUGUCCAAAUAUGGAUAGAAUUUAUGUUUAGUUCUGUUUGGCCUUUCUAAAUGUCGAAUCUUGUUGUGAUGAUAAUACCAAAAUUGUAGGACUUUAUAAGCUUUCCAAAAAGUUUUAGUUUACUAUUUUUGGAUGAAUAUUGUGUAAGUUAUGAAUAAAACAACUAGCUGUUGUUCUGGUGUCCAAAUUCAGCAAAUAUGAAAUGAUUACUUGGAGUUGCUUUUGUGAGGAUACCUGUAUUUGGUUAGUUCUUGUCUUGAUUAAUGAAGUCUUGUAGUGUCAAAUGGUUGUUUCUUUUCUUUCUUAAUGCUUGCUUUAGACUUUAGCAUUUUGGAGAAGGAAGUAAAUGCCUUGGUGAAUGUAUUUGAGUAGUGACUAUUUAGGCCUUGUAUGUGCAUAAUGAAAUAGUAAUGCAAGUAGUAAAAUUUAACACUUCUCUCGUCUAUCCGUGAUGUUACCCUUUAUUGCUUAUAGUCUUACAAAUGUCUAUGAUCUUGAUAAUGUUUACUUGCUUAAUCGAAUGGUGUAAUAAUUUGUUUGGUUGAUGUGUUAUGCCUAAUAGGUUAGAUUAGUAGUUCUAAGAACUAGUUGAAAUACUUCUAUUCAUAAACCUAAAUUAAGUAUCCGAAAUUGAUAAGUCUACGAGUAGUAACCUAUCGAUGUUAUGCUUUAGCUUAAGGCUUGUGUUUAGUUACGUUGCCUAAUGUUUGAAUUAGGUCCGAUUAAAUCGAGGAUCAUGAUUAUGUAGAUUUUCUCUCAUGUUUGAUUAUGUAUGUUGGUGAGAUCUUGCCUGUAAUAUUGAGUUUUCUUCCUUGUGACAUUGUUUAGCCUUAUUAUUCCUUCCUAUGUUCAUACAUGUGCAUUAUGCAUAUCAUUUAGGUACGCUAAUUGAUCACGUGAUGUGGAGGACAAGAGCUGGAUUUGUCUCAUGGUGAUGCUGAUGAAUAAACCUGAAGAUUGAUGAUCUGAUCGAGUGCCAGAAUAGGAGAUGCUCGCCAAACAAGCAUCAUCUAACAACACUAACCUAGUGUCAUCCCAGGCAAGCCCCAGUGCAUUUGCCCCUUCCUUGUGUUUUAAAUGCUUUAUCACGUUAAAUGAUGCAUUAGGUGAUAGGAGUUGUGUGAUGAACAAUUGAUGCAUUACCAUUCCUUGGAAGUUGAAUACUAUACCUUGAUCCCUGAUUUAUAAAAAGAAUUGAUAAUGCUUAACCCUGCUUAGAAACUGAAAAAUCCUUUGUUUUCAAAAAGAAUGAUGUGGAACAUUGGUUAUGGGCUUUUUGAUUCGAAAAUCAAAACAAACUAAAGUGAUGGAUCCUCUACGGCCGGAGUGGACUCGUCACUCGAAAAGAGUAUCCCUGUCGGGUACCAAAAAUGGGGAAAUGGUUAAUAAAUCUAGACCAGCGCUGAGCAGACAAAGUCACCCGUCUGUGUCGAUUAAGGAUCGUACCGUUGACUGGCCUGUUGUGGUUGAGACUUUGCAACUAGCCACAUACCCUGGUAUGGGACAGGGAAAGCUUGAACCCGGCUAUUCCAUAUGUGAAGAGACAAUCGCGCACUGGGAGUGGAGAGAUGGCGGGACUAGCAUGUACCCUCCUGGCAUAGUAGGACGCCUAGUAGGGUAAUGUUCUCUCGGGUGGCGUGGACCUAUUCAUGUAGUGGAGGACUCCGUGGGAACGGUUGACAUAUGCAAGGGUUAAGUGCUACAUAUGUCGUGUGGUUAGAGAUCCCCAGCUGGGUAUAAUCGGUUCGAAUCGUCGUUGCUCCUCGGUUAUGGAGACUCAUCCCGGUGACCAUCAUCAUAGUUAGCAAGUGAAAUAUGAGAAUGAAUAAAAUGCAGCUAGUAUAGGCCAAGUGCUUGAACUAGACUAGGUAAAUAUAAAUUCAGGUAAUAACCUAACUAGUGAAAUAAAACUUGGCUUAAGGAUCAACUGGUAGCAAGCUUUUCUGCAAAAGGAGUCUUCGAUCAUUGAUAAACCUUACCUUGAUUCCCAAUCAACUAGCAUACCCUUGAGAGUCUUUUCUUUAGUCGGGUAAGUCUUGCUGAGUAAUUGCGUACUCAGGGCUUUAUUCCCUGUUGUUUUUCAGGUUAUAAGUUUGUUCUGUUGUAGAUGGUGCUAAGUGUCGAUGGGCUUGGCCUUCUUAUAUAAGUAUAUCCCAUCUUUAGCUUUUUAUUGAGGAUUGUCACUUAAGCUAACAUGUAAUUUAAAACUUAUAAAUGCUUUAUACAUUUUAAAGUGUAAUUCUUUUGAAUCACUUUCUUUUGUAAUCACUCCGAUAAUUGUAUAAUGUAAACUUAUUGUAACAUGUAAUCAUUUUGCAAUAAAGAAUUUAUUUCCGCUGCAAAUGUUGGUGUGUGAUUUGUGUUAACUUAAUCCUGCGAUCUUGGUGGUAAGUCGUUUAUCCGGGGUCAUCGGGGCACUCGGACGGAUCAUGUUAAGUUGUUUGGUGCACAUGCAUAGUCGUCUGAGGUCUUUGAGACAAUGACAGGUGCAUGUGGGCCCGAUAACUUGGGAGGUUCUGCGACAACUAAGCUGAUUGAUAAUGACUUAUUUAUAUGCCAAAUUUAUGUUGGUGACAUAAUAUUUGGUUCUACUAACCAAUUGUCUUGUGAGAAAUUUAGAAGGAUUAUGAUCAAGAAGUUUGAGAUGUUGAUGAUGAUCGGAGCAGCGCAAUUACUUUGGAUGAGACAAGUCUUCAAGAACUUUGACAACAAUCUGAGCAAAGUCCCCCUCCUAUGUGACAAUGAGAGUGCUCUCCAAAUAGGUGAUAACCCUAUUGAUCACGACCGCACUAAGCACAUAGACAUCUGGUAUCAAUUUUUGAGAGAUCACUCACAAAGGUGAGAUAUCGUUAUAGACCAUGUGAACACCCAUAAAUAGUUAGUCAAUGUCUUCACCUAGAUCUUAGAUGAGAGAAGAUUUUGUGAGCUUAGGAGUGAGAUAAAUAUUUUUUAUUCUCGAAACAUGGAGUGAAAUAUUGCACACAUUGCUUAUUUGUUAUACCUUUGAUCAACAAGUGCUCUUUUAAUUGGUACAAUUUCAAUUGUUCAUAUUUGCUUGUACCAAGGUUCAAAUCAUAGAAAAUCAUCUCUGGACCUUACAAGUCCAAGUGCAUAAGUUAAACAACUAUUCAACACUUGUAUACACACAUUCAGGGGGAGGGUGGUCUAUAGAUUGAACUUUUAGGACUAACAAUGUUUUCAAUUUUAUUAUGUGUGGUCUCAA